GAUGAAGAACGCAGCGAAAUGCGAUACUUGGUGUGAAUUGCAGAACCCCGUGAACCAUCGAGUCUUUGAACGCAAGUUGCGCCCGAAGCCAUUAGGCCGAGGGCACGCCUGCCUGGGUGUCACACGUCGUUGCCCCCCCAUCUACUCCUUCGGGAUUGCGGGGGGCGGAUGAUGGCCUCCCGUGCGCCUCGUCGCGCGGUUGGCAUAAAUGCCAAGUCCUCGGCGACGCACGCCACGACAAUCGGUGGUUGCGAAACCUCGGUUGCCCGUCGUGUGCGGUCGUCGCGCAUCGAGGGCUCGAAAAAAUUGCCGGGCUCCGGCUCGGCUUUCAACGCGACCCCAGGUCAGGCGGGGUUACCCGCUGAAUUUAAGCAUAUCAAUAAGCGGAGA
rnacentral:misc_RNA from 1 species